GUUCAAACCCCCCCACCCUUGUCAUGUCACAAGCCCACUCUUGAAUUAACAGCCCCCGUUCUUUCCUCCACAUCCCUCCUUUUAAACCGUACCUUGAGAUGUGUUAAAGAGGCUGCCUUCACAACAUAAUGACAAAGAAAACAGAGGACUAGAACCCCCCUGUGAUGUGGUCAGGCGCACACAUA